GUGCAUGCUCUGGUAGCACAUAUAUUAAGAUUGGAACAAUACAGAGAAGAUUAGCAUGGUCCCUGUGCAACGAUGAUAUGUAAAUUCUUGAAGUAUUCCAUAUUUUU